GAGACUGACCUGGGUAAAUAUGUAGAUAAAUGGCCCUUUGACAUUGCGACUAAGAACAGAACUGGUUCUUUAUUAGGGAAGCAAAUCCAUAUUGAUUCUUUCCUAUCGAACUUGGCUGUUUCUGCUCGUCUCUGACAAACCCACUGCUUGGUCUCUUUGCUUCUAGGUUUGGCUCAGGGCUUUAUGUACAUUCAAGGCAGGGGCCCUUGGGAGGUCAGGUUGAGAGAGGUCCUUUUGCAUCCUAGCCUGACUGACUGUACUGAGUAGCAUUGAAGCAACCCCUUUCAGCAUUGCCCUCAUUCUGGAAAUGAAUAAAUACAACUGAAAUUAACAGGCUUUCCCUAGUGUACAACUGACUGUGGGACUCCAUGGCUACGUAAAGGUCUGGUUAGAGAUAGCAAUCAUGACAGUUUCUCACAGAAAGAGAAGAGGAGAACAUAUGCUACUUAUGGAGCAUUCACAUAUGUCAGAUAUGUUUUAUAUAUUGGAUUUAGGAUGACAAGUGCAUUCUUUUGUGUCUGUUGGCAGGAUUUUAUUUUAGGUAUGUUGUACAUGCUAUCUCAAACUGUACAUGACUGGAUGUUAAAAUACUAUAUACUGGUACUUGGGAUCACAAACUUAGUACGUGACUGAUUACUUUUUAAUUACAGUAAUUAAACAUGUGGAAAAUCACAGGAGUCCCAGUUUUGCUGUCAUGUAGGAACAAUAACGUUAUGUAAGAUAUUACUGCUCAAUAUUUUUGUCAGUCCUGUUAUUGAGGCUUAAGAGAUAAAGAAUAUGCUGCUCCUACAUCUAGAGUCUCAAAGAACUGAAAAUAGUUUUGCUAAUAAUGUGGAUAGUAACAUAGGUCCCUGAUUAUUUUAUCACUACUUUCAUAGCUUUUGGAGCCAUUAUGCUGAUACAGUUUUGAGAGUGGUUUCAAGAACUGUAAAACACUGGUUAUUAAGCUUCAUUCCAAUAUGUAAAACUCCUUUCAUCAUACUUUUGGCAGAAGUAAUAUGCUGUGCUCUCUACCCUGUCUUUCCUUCUCUACUGCUGUGUGUAAACCAGAGCAGCUUUUGGAUGCUUCUGCCUCCCACUCUUACAGUUUGUUUCCAUAAGAAAAUGCAGAGGAAGCCAUACAGCACUUAGCUGGCAGGAAGACAAGAGCUGGGUGGUUGGUGCUUUAGUGUUUCCUGCAGGUUUGCUUCAGAUGAGUUUAUCUACUUUAUUUGAAGUGGAAAUUGCAUGGAGAUGCCAACAUUCAAAAAAAUGGUUUUUACCAAGCAAGUACUCCCUAUCUCACAUCAUCUCAGCUAUACCUUGAGAACUCACUCCUUUGGAAGUAUCAGCAGCUGGCAUCUCGGUUGAAGGACGGAUGAUCUUCUGAAUGAGCAAUGAGGAGAUAACUUCAGUGCCUUCCCUAUCAGCAGGGGACUUUCCUAGAUGAGUAAAGUUUUGAAUGGUCUUUCAGAGACCAACAAUUAAUUUAUAUAGAACCAGAUUCAUAAAUAAAAUGAGAAUUUCUAAUAAAUGUGCCUCAAAUCACUUGUCAACAAGUAAUUGACUUUACCUAUUGGCAGCAUCUGAUGUGCAAAAGUCUUACUUUAGUUUUGUCAUGCUAUGGUUGAACUGCUCACUACGUUACAUUAAAUGUCAUGGUAGGCAUAUUGAGGAAUUCAGCUGCAACAAUUUUUUGCCCUCCUCUGGACUGAUGUGCAGCCAGCCCUGAGCAGCCCACCUGAGAAAUAAAGCAUUUCACAGAAGUCACUGUUGAGAAGCAGUAGGAAAGACAAGAGGGAAGUGGAAAUCGGCAUCCUUCAAAGAGAAUCCUCUUUGGUGGACAAAUGAGAAUAGAAAGCCAGGAAGAGCAGUGCAUCUCUUGUCAUAACAGAGAUACAAAAGGAUUUCUGGUGAUGCUUCAACUGUCAAAAAGGAAUACAGCCUUGUGCUGCACUGACUUGCAUCUCACAGUCCCAAUAUUUAUUAAAUCCAGUUCCUCAGUGGAAUAAAAAUGGAUUAAUAUGGUUAGUAUCAAACUUAUGAUAAUGAAAAUACAGAUGAUUCUUUAUGCAAGUGGUAGUUGCCACUGCCAUUCAUGACUCUGGUCUAUCCCUAGGGUUUCUGUCUGGAGGUCAUAUUAAGUAAAGCUUGUGAUUCACCUCCAAAACACCCAAACCCUUGGUUGUCACUAACAUCUCCUUUCCCUGCCGUCUGUUAUUUUCUCCUCUGUUGUGUAACAUUGUAGUGCAUUAGUAGUUGUCUAUUCUGGUACCCAUUGAUGAAAUCUGAAGGAAGAGGCAAGCAGACAAUGGCAGACAUAGAUUCUGAGCCAUUCUGUGUGACUUCUGAUGUGAACUCUGCAAUGUAGGAUACUUAGCUUUAAAAAAA